UGAAUAAAGCUCGCCAUGGGUAGGACAGGACCAGCGUCUCUGGGUCAGCAGUCACUGGGCGGGCGCAUAACUUCCGGAAAUCCGCCGAGCGGGUGGGGCCAGUAAGUUGCAGACCAGUGGAUCCACAGUGGCCCUCCAGCGUUUCAUCCAUACAAGGCCAGUUUCCACCCUUGGCUCCAUAUGUAAACAAAGCCUGGGCUUUCAGCGGCAGGUCCCCACAGGUCUAGCCCUCUGUGCCAGCCAUGCAGGAGGUAGAGCCAGAGUCUGGCUCCGUGACUCCUGCACAGCUACCGAGUUCCUGCCGCCGCCUUCCCUCAAAAACUCCAGAGUGAGAAAUUCUAACUGAAUGUGUACAACUGCAGAGCUCAAGCCAUUCUUCCACCCUGUGUGUUAUCAAUGACAUUGUAAAAGUACUGACUAACCUGUGGUAGAGAGUGGGGGUAAAAACUGGACCAUGAUGAUUAAGAGCCGGACUAGAGGCAGAAUGGACCCUCUGAGCUCUCGUGGGUGCAUCAAAUAAAGACUGAACCAUACUGUAAGCCACGGGCUGGUCUUCCUGUGUGACAGCCUAGUCCUCAAGUUACAAAUAUACAUUCUUAAUAAAAUAGUUAUGAGGAA